GGAGGGGGAUCUCUUCAAGCAGGGCUGGUGGGAAUCCCGAGCAGGCUUCCUUGUGAAUUCACACGGAAAUGAGGCCAGCAGCAGCCUGCCACCUUCUGCCAGGAAGGAGAGCAACGUCUGCAACUGAAGCAGAGCAAAGUCAUAUUCAGAAAACAAUGAGAAGGAGCCAUUAAGAUAAACCAAAAGGAACACAAGUCAAUAAAUCAACUGUGUGUGGCUCUGAAGAAGAGACCGAGAACCCCAAGGUGACAGAAGCAUUAAACAUCACGAUUAAUCUGGGAAAA